AAUUAAUUGGCAGAAAAAUGCAUUAGAAUUAGAAUCUAAUAAAACUAUAAUUA
rnacentral:tRNA from 1 species